GAAGUCUAACAUGUGCGCGAGUCAUUGGGCUGCAAACCCAAAGGCGAAAUGAAAGUGAAGGAAGCUUUGCUUUCUGAGGGAGGAUAGGCGUGUCAGCUGCAAGGGCGGCGCUUCGCACUCCCGAGGCGUCUCUUUCUCAUUGCGAGUAGAGGCGCACUCAGAGCGUUCACGUUAGGACCCGAAAGAUGGUGAACUAUGCCUGGUCAGGACGAAGCCAGGGGAAACCCUGGUGGAGGUCCGUAGCGAUUCUGACGUGCAAAUCGAUCGUCAGAGCUGGGUAUAGGGGCGAAAGACUAAUCGAACCAUCUAGUAGCUGGUUCCCUCCGAAGUUUCCCUCAGGAUAGCUGGCACCCAGGGGAUCGGAGUCUCAUUUGGUAAAGCGAACGAUUAGAGGCAUUGGGGCCGAAACGACCUCAACCUAUUCUCGAACUUUAAAUAGAUGAGAGCUUCGGCUUGCUUAACAGUGAAGCCGGAGACUUGGAUCAGGGUGCCCAGUGGGCCGAUUUUG
rnacentral:rRNA from 1 species